UGAGGUAUAAUACAACUUUUGUAAUAGUAUAUUCUCGUUGGUCAAACAUCAUUUGUUUAACUAAUAGUUAUGUGUGGUUUUCCAUAUAGUCAAUCCCCAUGUCCAUUUAUGAAAACAUGGUGGAUUCACAAUCACUCAUUAAACUUGAAUCUCUUGUUAGUGCUUAUGUUUUCAAUAUAUCAUUGUCAAUAAGGUUUGUAAUAUAGUUAAUAUUUAUAAAUGUAUUUUAGUAAUAUUAUCUC
rnacentral:lncRNA from 1 species